UACGUAGGGUGCAAGCGUUGUCCGGAAUUAUUGGGCGUAAAGAGCUCGUAGGCGGUCUGUCGCGUCGGCUGUGAAAACCCGGAGCUCAACUCCGGGCCUGCAGUCGAUACGGGCAGACUGGAGUUCGGCAGGGGAGACUGGAAUUCCUGGUGUAGCGGUGAAAUGCGCAGAUAUCAGGAGGAACACCAAUGGCGAAGGCAGCUCGCUGGGACGGUACUGACGCUGAGGCGCGAAAGCGUGGGGAGCAAACAGG
rnacentral:rRNA from 1 species